rnacentral:rRNA from 1 species
CUUGCCAGGGAACUACGAGCCCUAGCUUAAAACCCAAAGGACUUGGCGGUGCUUUAAACCCCCCUAGAGGAGCCUGUUCUAGAACCGAUAACCCCCGUUAAACCUCACCCUCCCUUGCCAAACCCGCCUAUAUACCGCCGUCGUCAGCUUACCCUGUGAAGGACUAAAAGUGAGCAUAAAUGGUACAACCUAAAACGUCAGGUCGAGGUGUAGCGUAUGAAAGGGGAAAAAAUGGGCUACAUUCACUGCCACAGUGAACACGAACGAUAUGCUGAAAAGCACAUCUAAAGGAGGAUUUAGCAGUAAAAGUGAAAUAGAGUGUCCCUUUGAAACUGGCCCUGAAGCGCGCACACACCGCCCGUCACUCUCCCCAAAUGCCAUCAAAACCUAAAUAAAACAGCAAGAGCUAUAAAGGGGAGGCAAGUCGUAACAUGGUAAGUGUACCGGAAGGUGCACUUGGAUAAAC